UCUGACUUAACAUAUAGUUAAUGUGAGAGAUUGUAAAUCUUUUUAAAGUCUAAUGACUA
rnacentral:tRNA from 1 species